rnacentral:rRNA from 1 species
AUUGAACGCUGGCGGCAUGCCUUACACAUGCAAGUCGAACGGUAACGCGGGGCAACCUGGCGACGAGUGGCGAACGGGUGAGUAAUGCAUCGGAACGUGCCCAGUAGUGGGGGAUAGCCCGGCGAAAGCCGGAUUAAUACCGCAUACGACCUACGGGUGAAAGCGGGGGACCGUAAGGCCUCGCGCUAUUGGAGCGGCCGAUGUCAGAUUAGGUUGUUGGUGGGGUAAAAGCCUACCAAGCCGACGAUCUGUAACUGGUCUGAGAGGACGACCGGCCACACUGGGACUGAGACACGGCCCAGACGCCUACGGGAGGCAGCAGUGGGGAAUUUUGGACAAUGGGGGCAACCCUGAUCCAGCCAUGCCGCGUGCGGGAAGAAGGCCUUCGGGUUGUAAACCGCUUUUGUCAGGGAAGAAACGCUCUGGGCUAAUACCCCGGGGUAAUGACGGUACCUGAAGAAUAAGCACAGGCUAACUACGUGCCAGCCGCCGCGGUAA